ACACCACCACACGGACGACCUCCUCCCCCCCCCCAUCCCCCCCGGGGACCCAUCCCGGUGGCGGGCUCCGGAGUUCGAGACUGCUAAUUUCAGCGAAACGAUUAACAGACGCCCCAACGGCUGACGGCACUGCCUCUCCUCCGGUAGGGAGGGGCGUGCGGCGUAUGGUCACCGACGCUUCCCCGCCGGCGCAGAGCAGGCCCCACCGAGGCGCGCGCAGCCGGCACGCACGCCGCCCCGCCCCCCCGGCCCGUCGCCACCCGCGCGUUACGCUCGCUCGCAUCCCCCGCCCUCGACCCCCGUGCCGUUGGAGGGGCCCGAGGCCAGCCAGAGAGCGCUGUUGGCCGGAGAGAAGCCAGAGGAGACCGGGUCGGCUGGGCGGAGCGGCAGAGGGUCGGGGAGACUGCCUAAACGCCCGGGAGUAGAAGCGGACGGGGGCAGGGUUACGUGAGGGAGCGCGCCGCCACUGAGCUUGGGUCCGACUGGAGCUCGGGGUCGGGACCCAGACUCGGGGGCCAGGUCCCCAAGCCGGCCUUACACCCGAGUCGAGGAGGAGAGACCGGACACAGAGGGACCGAGCGAGCAGGGAGACAUGGCUUCAUCAUUCCUGCCCGCGGGGGCCACUACCGGCGACAGCGGUGGAGAGCUGAGCUCAGGGGACGACUCCGGGGAGGUGGAGUUCCCCCAUAGCCCUGAGAUCGAGGAGUCCAGUUGCCUGGCCGAGCUGUUUGAGAAGGCUGCAGCGCACCUGCAAGGCCUGAUUCAGGUGGCCAGCAGGGAGCAGCUCUUGUACCUGUAUGCCAGGUACAAACAGGUCAAAGUUGGAAAUUGCAAUACUCCUAAACCAAGCUUCUUUGAUUUUGAAGGAAAGCAAAAAUGGGAAGCAUGGAAAGCACUUGGUGAUUCAAGCCCCAGCCAAGCAAUGCAGGAAUAUAUCGCAGUAGUUAGAAAGCUAGAUCCAGGUUGGAAUCCUCAGGUACCAGAGAAGAAAGGAAAAGAAAGAAAUACUGGUUUUGGUGGGCCAGUUAUUAGUUCUCUAUAUCAUGAAGAAACCAUCAGGGAAGAAGACAAAAAUAUAUUUGAUUACUGCAGGGAAAACAACAUUGACCAUAUAACCAAAGCCAUCAAAUCGAAAAAUGUGGAUGUGAAUGUGAAAGAUGAAGAGGGCAGGGCUCUGCUUCAUUGGGCCUGUGAUCGAGGACAUAAGGAUCUUGUCACAGUCUUGCUACAACAUAGAGCUGACAUUAACUGUCAGGAUAAUGAAGGCCAAACAGCUCUACAUUAUGCCUCUGCGUGUGAGUUUCUGGACAUUGUAGAGCUGCUGCUCCAGUCUGGUGCUGACCCCACUCUCCGAGACCAGGAUGGCUGCCUACCGGAGGAGGUGACAGGCUGUAAAACAGUUUCCUUGGUGCUACAGCGGCACACAACUGGCAAGGCUUAAUCAAAAGACUGGAAAACUGCAGUCUGUAAUAGCAUAAGGCUUCCAUUAUGAAAGAAAACUACAAAAAUAAUACUUCUUUUAUCGUCCAUCUUUGUUGCUUCACCAGAGAGAUGUUGGAUUAAAGUAUAGUGAUUAUCAGACUCAGGAAAAAGUAUGCUUCCUUCUGAUGAUCGUCAGCUAGUGUUUGUUAUGUACCAAGUGUGGUCACUUUUUCAAAUAUGCAUUAAUUGGCAUUACACUAGAAGAUGGAACAGGUAAAGCUAUUUAACCGAAUCUUUAUUCACUUGUCCUUGAAAUAGUCCUGUCAUGAUCUUUGUAUGGAUCACUUCACAUGAAUCAUGCAUAGUUAUUGGGAAUUCACGGUUUAUUUCUUAGUUCAGGGAGACUAUUCCUUACCCGAAAUGCUUGGGACCAGAAAUGUUUCAGAUUUCUGAUUUUUAAAAAAAUUUUGGAAUAUUUGUAUUAUAUACAUACCAGUUGAACAUCCCUAAUCUAAAAAGCCAAAAUCCAAAAUGCUUCAGUGAGAAUUUCCUUUGACAUGUAAGCACUGAAAAAGUUUUGGGUUUUGGAGCAUUUAGGAUUUUGAUUUUCAGAUUAGGGAUACUCGGCCUGUAUUUUUGUUUUAUACUUGAAUUCUUCAGAAUUUUCUUUCCUGUGUUUUGUUGUGUCACUUUUUCUUAGCACAAUUACAAAACAAAUUAUUUCACAUUUUCACUGUCUUACAGGAUGCAUGUACUGGAAUCACUGUUCCUUCCUUUGUAUUCCUAGUUCUAAAAACCAGGUCGGGGUGUUCACAAAUUACAGACUGAUUUGUUUGCAGGACAGAAUCUUUCUUGCUGAUUUUAUUCCUAAACAAUAGAACACCGAAGUUAAAAACCAGGUGAGAAAACAUGGGAGGAGCUGCCCGACAACAGGUACUUAUCCCAUGGAGCUCUAGGCACUCAGGGUGCUUUCUCUCAGAGGUGGGAAAUGAUCCGGUGGUGGAGCACUAGGCACUCAGGGUGCUUUCUCUCAGGGGUGGGAAAUGAUCCCGUGGUGGAGCUCUAGGCACUCAGGGUGCUUUCUCUCAGGGGUGGGAAAUGAUCUGGUGGUGGAGCUCUAGGCACUCAGGGUGCUUUCUCUCAGGGGUGGGAAAUGAUCCGGUGGUGGAGCUCUAGGCACUCAGGGUGCUUUCUCUCAGGGGUGGGAAAGUGACCAUUCGAACCUAAUGCUACUGGAUGCAGUGGCUGAACAUGUGGGACCAUGAGGGCAUUAAGGAGUCAAGAGGUGAUUUCCAAUGGACUGUGCUAGGCAGCAGCCACAAAUUCAUCAUCGGCACUACAGGUAGGAUUUAUUUUUCCUUUCACUUGUGUAGCAAUCCCGGUUUCCAUUUUAAUAUUUAGAAGCUAAGUUCAAUUGAUGGACACUUUGUGUAAUAAAAGACUCUUUUAAAGUACAUGCUCAUGCACACACACAAGAUAGAAAGUGGCACUCCAGUGCCCAUGGCUUUCAUGGAGUACAUUUGUGGAGCCCAAAGCUUAGUCCUGGAUAUGUUUAUAGCACUUUAACUCCGUUCGUGAGUUUGGAGCCCUUCCAGAAAAAAAAAGACAUAUAUUAUUGUUUAUAAUCUGCUUUAUUCCGCCAAACCUUGACUGAACAGACUUGUGGAUUGCUCUUUAAAUCCCUCAGUGCCUUUAACUACCGAUACAGAAAGUGGUUAAUGCGCAUUCUAAAUGAAGCUUGGCAGCCACUCCAGGAAAUCACUUUAAUUGAGGAGCAUUAAAUGUUAAAAUGAUUUUUUGUUUAAAGCCAGCACACACAUACUGAGUAUAGAAGUUCUGGCCCACCAGGAAUAAUAGUUUCUUGGUUAUCAUAUCCCUCCAGCUUUGCAGUUGACAGGUGUCGAAAAAGUGACUUUCAGUUCGCUGGGUCACUAUCUGCAGACAGCUGGCCAGUGAGGAGGCAACCUUCAAGGAUUCCACUUCAGAGGAGGGGAAGGGGCUGUCAACUUUAUGGAUGUUUGUUUUUCUGAAAUAAUAAACUAGUCCCAGGUGACUAAAAUAUGAGAUUUAACCCCAAAGUCCUCGCCUGGGCUCUCCAUUGCUGUGCAGAAGCCAUCUGUUGAAAUCUAUUUACCAUUUUAAAGAUCUCUUUUUUAUUUCCAACUCCAAGUGUGUGCCAAGACCACUUUUCGGGGCCUAUAUUUUAUCUUUCAGAAAGCAGUUUCCAGCCUUUCCCAAAUCCCCAACCCCUGCCAACCAACAGGAGAUCCUGGUCUAGGACUGGCAAGCAAGAGAAAGAUAAAUUACUAAAUUUUUUUUAAAAGGCCUCUCCUACGACUCUAGAGGCACUUCGGCCUCUCUGAACCAUCUGAGUAGAAUCCUGGGCCCAAGGAGAAAGGAUAGGAAAGCAGUGGAACGCUGACUGUGGAGCCUCCAUGUGUUCUCCUGACUAAACUUAGGGUCUGCACACUGAUAAAGCCUCCUGCUGAGAAAAAAACCUAAAUGGAGAUUUUCCUAGAAAAUGUUUGUCCAGGAGCCCUGAUGACUCUGAUGAGGUGUUUCUGUUCCUCUGUGGUGACUUCAGCAGCCCAGAUGAGAUUAAGUGGCUUUCCACAUCCCGCCGAGAAGCCUAGAAGGAAAAAGGGCCUGUGGAGCGUGUCCUCCCCACUACCCGGACUGGAGGAAUGGCUGGCUCUAGGGGACUUUGGGAGUAGGCCAGUGUCCCAGCAAAGGGGAAGAGGCAGGAAAGGGGCUAGGGGCACAAGGCUGGGACCAGGUCAUCUGUUCACAGCUGUGUGGGCUGAUUAGGGGGAGGUCGUGGGGCCACAGAACAGGGCCUGGCCCAGUCCCAGCUUCCAGUCCAGACCUCAGCAAUCUUGUUUCCUACUCCUGUCACGUGGUAAAGGGCCACUACCAUUUCCCCCCCACCUUCACUGCAAUUCUUGAGGAAAAGCCCGUGUUCAGGAGGGAGUUGCCAAGGCCUCAAGAAAGAUCCCUCCUGAGUGCCAGGGAUUACGGAUUCCCAGGGGACGUUCCUAAGGCCUCGGCCUGGCCCCUCCAGCCCUGCUCACCUCGGAAGCUCAGCUCACUGUCACUAACCCCACAGUCCUCUGCAGAGCUCUCCUUCUCCUGCUUGCUGCCUCCCCGGCUCCUCUUGACGCUCUUAUAGAACUGCCCCCAGCGGUGCCGCCCCGCGUCCUUCUUCAGGCGUUUCUCUUUGGCCCUUCUGUUCUGAAACCAAACCUGCCACACAAGCACAAGGGACAUGCUCGGGGGGGUCCACCAUGAAUCCAAAGCCCCCAGGACCCCCAAGGUGGGCGGCUGGAAGUGGACUGAAGCCAGAAUGGAGCACCGGUCUGGUAGUACAAUGCGUCCCGACCCCUUCUCCCUGGCCUCAGAACUCUGCCUUCAGUUCUGGCAAAAGUCCUGGGGUUGUGGCCCUGAGCCCAACCACCAGUGAGGUGAUGUCACUCAUGCUCCCUGCCUAGGACACCUUCCACCCCUGUCCCAGGCCUGGGAUCCCCCGAGGGCACGGGAGUGCUGGCAUCUCACCUGUACGACCCUCAUGUCCAGGCCUGUCUCUGAGGACAGCUGCUCUCUCACGUGCCGGGCAGGCUUGGGGGAGUUCUUGUAUGCAUUCUUUAAUGUCUCCAGCUGCUUGGCUGUGAUGGUGGUCCGCGGCCGCUUAGCUCCAGCCUCUGAGUCAUCUGCAUGGAAAAACCACUGCUUACUAGGUUCAGCCUAUCUGCAGCAGCUACGCCUCGUUCCCCACCCUCCUUCCUUCCUUUCUGCACCUGAGCCUGCCUGCUGUAGGCAGGGCAGUGGGAGGCACAGGGGACAGAGUGGAGAGGUUCCCCACUCCCGCGGCAGCGACUCCUGCACCACAGGCCUUCCCAAGCCACUGAAAAGAGAAGACCACAGUCCUCUCUCUGCUCAGCUCCCUGCCUCUCCCCUCCCAUGCCAGCCCAGCUGCACAGAAGUCCCAUCAGAUUGAAUGAAUGUACCCACUUCCACACAUGUCCCUGCCAUGACAAACACUCUGCUCGCACAUCCUUGUGAGAUAUUGCCAGAGCUGUGAAGGGGAACAGCCAGGGUGAAAUCUGCGUUCAAAGCCACCCGGAAGCCCUCCCCUCUGUCUCAUCAGGAGUCUCCCAUUUCCCCACAGCCGUCUCCCAUUUCCCCACAGCCGCGUGCCUUUGCUCUGGCGUCACUGGGCUCACAGCCAGGGAUGAGUUCGCACACCUAGUAGUGUCUAAGCAGGUUUCUAAACUAUGGGUGAGAACCCACUCGUGGACUGUAAAGUCAACUUAGUGGAUCAAAACUAAAAGAGGAACUCAGAUGAAGAGAAGAAGAAAAUAAUAGAAUAGCAGGAUCGCUUCAUGAACCUUGUUUACUUUUUAGUGUAUGAAUGUGUAUACUGAGAUGGAACGUACAGUGAGUGUUUUUACUGUGAAUCGUCAAAAUUUUUUGGAAAACACUGAUCUAAAGAACGUGCAGGGCAACACACUGAUCAACACAAAGUGCUCAACAGAAUUUGAGCAAAAAGCUCAAGUUCCUGUUAAAGUCUGGUUGGUUCCAUUUCGCGUCAGGCAGAGAGAAGUGCGGGUGUGUCCGGUGGCACGGGUGUGUCCGGUGGCACAGGUAAGUGGAAAGGUUUGUUUCUUCUCCCCGCACCCAGCUCUCUGCACGGUGCCCCUGGAGCACACAAAGAAUAGAGUCGGCAGCUGGCUUGGGCCGCUCUGCUCUCUGCCUGCUCACCUGUAUGUCCCUUAGUGUCUCUGUGACAUUCCUGACUUCCUCCCUGCCUCUGCUCUGUUCUUUCCAUUCAAGAAAUCCCUCUCUGAGGAACAGUAACAGCCGAUGUGUUAGCACCUACCAUGUACUGGUGUUGACUAAGGACUUUCUAUGCAUUCGGUCCUCACCGUCGACAGGGCUCUCCCUGGCGUCAGCAGACCUGGCUUCAAUGUUCUUGCUGAGUGAGUGACUUGGGCCAGGAACACACCUCCCCUUGGAAGCCCAGGGUACAACACGGCCUGCCCUGGUCUUGGCAGGCACUAAAGGAGUGAAGCAGCUGUGUGCCCAGGACAUGCGCGCACACGGUGAGGGGACGUGCCCCGUGCCUUCCCUUCUCGGGCUGUUUUCUCGCGUGGUCACUCCUCCUGGAACUGCUGUGGCCCAACUCCCUCCCUGAAGCCCUGGACCUGAAGGGAAGGGAUUCUGGAGCUCCUGCCACAGAGACCACACUACUCAGAGAGUCAGUCCAAAAGACAAAGGGAAACCUCCAAAAUUCCUUCCUUUUCAUUCUGAGGAGUCAGUCCCUUCUGUGCAUGUUGGUAGAGUCUAGACAGGAGCAUCUGAUGCAGCUUUGAAUUAUGCAAAUGGGAAAUUGUGCCCUAUAUAGUCCUCAUAUAGAAUAUGUGAAAUAAUGCAAUCACCAAAAAUGUUUUCAUUCCUUGAGAAUCAAUUUCAAAAUAGCUUGGCCUGGGGAAUCACAAAUUUUUUGCCACAGCCGGAUGACAGCGCCACUGGGAUAUACCCAUCAUCCUGGGUGGUGGCCUGUUGGUUCUGCACUGCUGCUCACACGCACGGGACUUUCUUCUUGCAAUGAUGGGGACUAAUAUGCUGUUAUUUUAACAUUCACUGUUAUUAUAAUUUAAAAUCUUUUUUAUAUCCUAUAACAAUGUCAUCCAAGUAUUCAUUAAGUAGCAGUGGCAGUGCUCGUGCUGAAAAAUGUACCCAAAAAUCAAUAACUUUGGUACGGAAGUUAAAUGUGAUAAAACACUCUGAGGAAGGCCAAGCGAGACCACGAUACCCGGGGCUGUUAAUUUAGGAGAGAGCGUUCUGCAAGGUAUUCAAGAUAAUGCUGCGAAAAUAACAAGUGGCAUUAAGGUAAAGAUACACUUCACUGGUUAUGGA